rnacentral:rRNA from 1 species
GAUGAACGCUGGCGGCGUGCCUAAUACAUGCAAGUCGAGCGAACGGACGAGAAGCUUGCUUUUCUGAUGUUAGCGGCGGACGGGUGAGUAACACGUGGAUAACCUACCUAUAAGACUGGGAUAACUUCGGGAAACCGGAGCUAAUACCGGAUAAUCUUUUGAACCGCAUGGUUCAAAAGUGAAAGACGGUCUUGCUGUCACUUAUAGAUGGAUCCGCGCUGCAUUAGCUAGUUGGUAAGGUAACGGCUUACCAAGGCAACGAUGCAUAGCCGACCUGAGAGGGUGAUCGGCCACACUGGAACUGAGACACGGUCCAGACUCCUACGGGAGGCAGCAGUAGGGAAUCUUCCGCAAUGGGCGAAAGCCUGACGGAGCAACGCCGCGUGAGUGAUGAAGGUCUUCGGAUCGUAAAACUCUGUUAUUAGGGAAGAACAUAUGUGUAAGUAACUGUGCACAUCUUGACGGUACCUAAUCAGAAAGCCACGGCUAACUACGUG